AUGGGUCUAGAGACUUGGUUUUAACCCAAGAUUUCAAGAUAGCAAAAAGCCCAACUUGGGUAACAGAGAACUGGGCGCGCGCGAGAGAGACGCAGAGAGCGAGAAAAAUAGAUAUGAAACUGAAAAAAGGGAUUCAAUUUAUGUGAAUAGGCUAAGUGCAAGCCCAUGAUUAUUCUGAUUGAUUUGAUUCUGCACAAGAAGAAAGCUUAUACCCAUUUGCUGUAUAAUGUGAUUGACUCGCAAGCUCCCGCCUUUCAGGGUUUAGUGGAAUUCAACUUUCGGGUUUCUUCUUUUGGAUGCUUGUUUCCAUUCUAAUCGUUUUACAGGUCUGGAAAUGUUCUUCUGUGAUUUUGAUCAUUGAUUUAUUUGUAUGAUCCUCCAAUACUGUGUCACUCAAAGGUUAGAUGAUGAAGCAUUUACAGUCUUGGACAUCAUUUUACAGUUUUCAAUUUCAAUAUCUAUGUCACUA